CGCCCGUGCGCCCGGCGCCGCUCCGCCUCUGCCAGCCAUGAGCGCAUCGAGGCAUGAUCUUGACGCGCAACUCCUUGGCAGGGGCGAGCGACCGUCUGGACUGGAGCGCGUCGGCGGGGGUGGGGGGGGAGGAGGAGAAGGAGCCGUGUGCACGAAAGGGGCGUGGCCUAGGGCGGGGCGGGGCAAUCCAUUCCACGCCCACCCCCCGUCCUCAAUAAAUAGGCGCCCGCAAAGACGCAGCUCAACUGCUAUCCGCACCCGUCCGAGCGAGCGCAUCACUGUUGCGGGAGAAGCCUCAACCAAGCAUGGAUGCCCAAGACUGUCCCUGCGCCAGCGGAGGUGCGUGCACCUGUGGCAAUAACUGUCAGUGUAAAAACUGCAAAUGCAAGACAUGUAAAAAAAGUUGCUGCUCCUGUUGCCCAGUCGGCUGCUCCAAGUGCGCCCAAGGGUGCGUCUGCAAGGGACCCCCCUCCACCAAAUGCAGCUGCUGCCAGUGAACCACCCCCUCUGCUCUCGGAGCAGGGACCUGUAUAUUUGCCUGCAACAGUGUAACUCUCGUGUCUUAUAUAUUUGUGUGUUUUCUAGCUUGUAGAAGUGCGACAAAAAAAGCUACUUUGAAAGUAAAUAAAGCUAUAUAUGUAUAUAUAAACA
rnacentral:lncRNA from 1 species